GAGUGAGUGAGUGAGUGAGUGAGUGCGUGUGUGCGUGCGUGCGUGCGUGCGUGCGUGUGCACUGCAGUGUGAUGGAGGUUUUUGUACGAUGGUUUCAUUAGAAUAUAUCACUGUGGGGGACUUUUGGUGGAGGCUCCAAACUCGUGGUGAACACGGGUCCCACAGCUCCCUCCGUGUCUCUGCUCCCUCCGUCCCCUCUGCAGCUGUCUGAGGGAUCGGCCUCGCUGCUCUGUCUGCUGUCUGGCUACUCUCCACAGGGGGCGCUGGUGAGCUGGACAGUGGACGGAUCACAGGUGAAGAACGAGGUUCUGACCAGCGCAGAAGAAGAGAAGAACGGCCGUUACAGCCGCAGCAGCACCCUGACCCUCAGCAAAGACCUCUGGGAAAAGGGGGAGGAGUUCAGCUGUAGGGUCUCCCAUAACAACGUCGAUCAUCCGGUCACGUUCAGAAAGAGUCAGUGUGAAGGCUAGUGGAUCCAAGAUAGAGUUUAACAUAGAGCUGCUUAUGAUCCAUCUACAAUAGAGUUUCAGUUCUACACAAUGCUGACAUUUCUGUCUUUACUGUCUUCACUGUCCUGUUGCUCUUCCUGUAGUUUUUGCUGAAAUAAAGCUGAGUUUUGGA